rnacentral:tRNA from 1 species
GGAGGAGUCGGAUAGUGGUUUAUUCCAGCUGUUUUGAAAACAGCCGGCCGCAAGGCCUCGUGGGUUCGAAUACCACCUCCACCG